rnacentral:rRNA from 1 species
CCUACGGGAGGCAGCAGUAGGGAAUAUUGGACAAUGGGCGAAGCCUGAUCCAGCAAUGCCGCGUGAGUGAUGAAGGCCUUAGGGUUGUAAAGCUCUUUUACCCGAGAUGAUAAUGACAGUAUCGGGAGAAUAAGCUCCGGCUAACUCCGUGCCAGCAGCCGCGGUAAU